rnacentral:misc_RNA from 1 species
CAAGGUAGUCUAGCCAUUGCAAUAGUCCCGCUAAAAGCAGAAACAACCGCCGUUGUUGAGUUCUAUCUCACACACAUCUCUCCUUUCUUCUCCCUCUUUCUCCCACUAUAUAUAUAUACAUAUAUAUAUAUAUACAAGUGUGUGUGUAUACAAUUGACAUAAAACAACCAUAAAAAGACGCACGAAUACGUAGAAUAAUAUAAAGGCUACUGAAUUUUGUUAGAAAAAGAAGCAAAAAACACGUUCUGCCGUAAAGUGAAAGUAGAAAAAACAAAAACAACAACAACAGAAACUUCUGAAAGAAACUGUUAAAUAGUGGAAGUGCAAACAAAUAUUUGGCUUUUCCUUGCCUAGGCAGCUUCACACAUAAGCGGACAAAAAGCUCACAGAAUCUUAUAGUUGCCGUUAGAUGCACAUGUUUACAUAAAAGAAAAAACUAAAUUUUUUUUAAAUAUCUGUCGACGGAGAUCAUAAAAUGUUGUUCAACAUAACGCCAAUAAUAUGUGUGCUGGUACUGUGUGUUCUCUUUCCGAGAGGUAACUGCAAUGAAGAUACGAAUCCAUCACAGUCGAAAAGCAAAUUGAACGAAAACAAUGUAGCUGAGCAACACCUUGAUAAACGCAGCAGUGGCGAGUACAACCCGCACGAUCUGAAAACAAUAGUUGCGGCAAUUCUUGAACGACAAGAACAAGGCCAAAAACAAUCGUCUGCAUUGAGGUCUAUGAACGAACUUGCAGGCGAUCAGUACAGUGGUGAUGCAUUAUCGCGUGUAGUUCAGCUUCUGAGAAGGUCUAUGCCAUCAGAUUUCGAUGAGUUUGAAAGACGAUUAGCACCUGUUCCAAGAUUAGGGCGUCUAAAGAAGAGAUCUGUGCUCAGUAACCCUAACAAAGAAGUAGAUUAUGAUGAAAAUGAAGCAAAUGAUAACAACGAGAGCGCUGAUAAUAUACUUUUCCCCCGCCAAAUAACCCUCCCACGAUAUGGAAAAGAUGAGGGAUCUGAUGCAGCAGAUGCCGAACAAUAUUUGUCAUCGGAUUGUGAAAUCUUUGAUGCCUAUGGCACAUGUGUGCAGUAUAAAAUACCAAGAGAGAAUGUGAAGAGGCAAGUUAGAAUGUUGCGAUUAGGAAAGCGUCAGAUGCAUCCAAUAAAAAUAGAUGAUGAAACAGGGAUGGGCAAAAGGUCAGAAGAUUUUAACGUGGAUGGAAACUCCGGUGAAAGUAAACGGGCAGUCUCAAUGUUGCGUCUUGGAAGAAGUUUCAAUGCUGGUGGGGAAUCUGAAGAAAAUGAAAUUCCAGUUUUCGACGAAGCCAAACGAGCAGUUUCUAUGUUACGGCUUGGCCGCAGUGGACCAUUCCUUGAUAAACGUGCACUUUCAAUGCUCCGACUUGGUCGAAGCGAAUUUGAUCAGGAAAACACAGCUCUCCCAAUAAUGUAUCCAGGACCAAAUGGUUUCGAAAGCAACAAGCGUGCUGUUUCAAUGUUGCGCCUCGGUCGCAGUAUGUCUGCUGAUGAUAAAAGAGCUGUGUCUAUGUUACGUCUCGGUCGCAGCGGAUUUGAUACAAUGAAGCGAGCAGUUUCAAUGUUACGCCUUGGAAGAAACAGUGGAUAUCCAUCAGAAAAACGAGCAGUGUCCAUGUUGAGAUUAGGACGAUCAGGAUCAGAUGAAGACAAGAGAGCAGUGUCUAUGUUGCGGUUAGGACGAUCAGGAUCAGAUGAAGACAAGAGAGCAGUGUCUAUGUUGCGGUUAGGACGUAGUGGCGCAGAUAUAGAAGACGAAAAGCGAGCAGUGUCGAUGUUAAGGCUUGGUCGUGGUGGUGCUGAUAAUAUGAAGAGAGCUGUUUCUAUGUUAAGACUAGGUCGAAGUGGAAGUGAUGAUAUGAACACGAAGAGGGCUGUGUCUAUGUUGAGACUCGGACGAAGUGGAAAUGACAAUGUUGGGGAAGAUAAACGUGCCGUCUCUAUGUUGCGACUAGGCAGAAGCGACAGCAAUGCAAAUAAUAAGCGAGCCAUGGCUAUGCUACGAUUAGGUCGUAGUAAUGACACUAGUGCAAAAGAAACCUAAAUUUUGUUGUAAUGAACUAAUUUAUGAAACCUAAAAACGAGAUAUAUAUGUGCUCAUAUAUAUAUAUAUAUGCGUGUGUGUGUGUGU